UAAGAACCUCACUGUUUUGUUUAUGUUACUUGGGGUAGCUACUCGACUAGCAUUCCUCAAGAUGUCAAAAAUAGAGUUUCUGAGAUUGUUUCUCAACGAAAGAUUGACAGCUGCUGCUGAUGAGAUAUUUGGAACAAUUGAAAAGACAAUUAUAGAGUACCAGGAAGAAGUUUCCCGCACGAAAGAGGAGAACAGCCGUCUACGGGGGAUGCUAAGGUUACACAAAACAGACCCCCAGCCGCUGACUGUCUCUGACGAGGAUCUUCCCCCUGAGCAGCAGCACUGUGAGCAGCAGUGGAGCCCUAGUCUGGAACCGGAUGGUCCGGAGGCCACACAGAUUAAAAAGGAGCAGGAGGAACUCCGGACCAGUCGGAGGGAAGAGCAACUCCAAUGGCUAGAGUCUGGUACCAAAGACUUCACAUUCAGUCCUGCCUGUUUGAAAAGUAACUAUGAUCCGAUUCAGAACCCAACUCAUUCAUCACAUCUUGACCAAAUACAAAGUGAGACAAACAGUGAGAACCCAAGUCAGUCCUCAUACCUUCACCAAAUAGAAAGCGAGGAAGACGGAGAGAACCCGGCAGCUCAGUCCUCAUAUCUUUACCAAAUACAAAGUCAGGAAAACCGAGAGAAGCCAUGGCAAUGCCGUGUUUGUGACAAAUGUUUCAGCAAUAUUCAUCAUCUGAAAGCGCACGUGAGGAGUCACACAGGGGAGAGACCAUAUAAGUGUCCUAUAUGUAGAAAAUGCUUUAUGACAACAAGCGCAUUGAAUAGGCAUCAGACAAUUCACACUGAUGGAAAGCCGUUUAGGUGUAAUUAUUGUGGCAAAUCCUUCAAAUGGAUGAACUCCCUUGGAAGGCACAUAAGGAUUACCCAUGAGAGGGAGAAUAUAUGACAGCACCUUGUGUGGGGAAAGGGCAACAGUUGUUAUGAAAAAGUUACAUCCUGAUGCGUUUUAUUCUAUUUCCAUAUAAUAUUAUAAUAUGCCAUAUGCUAUUGCCAUAUAAUUACACUAUAACAAAAUAGAACACUAUGUUAUGGUUAAUUAUAGGGGCGGCAGGGUAGCCUAGUGGUUAGAGCAUUGGACUAGUAACCGGAAUUUUGCAAGUUCAAAUCCCCGAGCUGACAAGGUACAAAUCUGUCAUUCUGCCCCUGAACAGGCAGUUAACCCACUGUUCCUAGGCCGUCAUUGAAAAUAAGAAUUUGUUCUUAACUGACUUGCCUAGUUAAAUAAAGGUAAAAUAAAUAGGAUAUCUAUGGCUAUUUUGUGUGUGUUGUCUUUUACAUGUUUGUAACCACUUUCCAUUUACAUUACAUUUACACUUUCCCAGGGACUGCAGAUGGAAAUAUGUCUUGAUCAAUGUGCGUUGUCUUUGUCAUAAAAAUCAAAUAAGGUCAAGAUUUAGAGGCGUAUCUUACACCUGUCUGUGCAUAAAGAUUGUUUUUGUCAUGUUCAUAUGGUGUAAUGUCAUGUCACAUCUGUUUUGACCAUUUCCUCCAGUGCUCACAAGAUCCAAAACAUUUUCCAUAUGCCUACAUUACUGUCCUUUUUUAUACCUCAGUGAUCUUUCUAAUGUGCACACCUGAUGGCAAAAAAUAAAUAAUCAACACACCAAA